rnacentral:tRNA from 1 species
GGCCUGAUGGUCUAGGGGUAUGAUUCUCGCUUUGGGUGCGAGAGGUCCGGGUUCAAAUCCCGGUCAGGCCC